rnacentral:rRNA from 1 species
AUUGAACGCUGGCGGCAUGCCUUACACAUGCAAGUCGAACGGCAGCACGGGGGCUUGCCCCGGGUGGCGAGUGGCGCACGUGUGUGUAGUACAUCAGUACGUGUCCUGGAGUGGGGGAACGCCCGGCGACAGCCGGAUUUAUACCGCAUGCGCUCUACGGGUGAGAGCGGGGGCCUUGCAGCCCACGCUCUCUGGUGUGGCCCGAUGGCUGAUUAGCUAGUUGGUGGGGUAAAGGCCUACCAAGGCGACGAUCAGUAGCUGGUCUGAGAGGAAGACCAGCCACACUGGGACUGAGACACGGCCCAGACUCCUACGGGAGGCAGCAGUGGGGAAUUUUGGACAAAGGGCGAAAGCCUGAUCCAGCAAUGCCGCGUGUGUGAAGAAGGUCUUCGGGUUGUAAAGCACUUUUGUCCGGAAAGAAAGCCUUGGACCUAAUACGGUCGGGGGAUGACGGUACCGGAAGAAUAAGCACCGGCUAACUACGUG